GACGAACGCUGGCGGCGUGCCUAAUACAUGCAAGUAGAACGCUGAAGGAGGAGCUUGCUUCUCUGGAUGAGUUGCGAACGGGUGAGUAACGCGUAGGUAACCUGCCUGGUAGCGGGGGAUAACUAUUGGAAACGAUAGCUAAUACCGCAUAAUAGUAGAUGUUGCAUGACAUUUACUUAAAAGGUGCAAUUGCAUCACUACCAGAUGGACCUGCGUUGUAUUAGCUAGUUGGUGGGGUAACGGCUCACCAAGGCGACGAUACAUAGCCGACCUGAGAGGGUGAUCGGCCGCACUGGGACUGAGACACGGCCCAGACUCCUACGGGAGGCAGCAGUAGGGAAUCUUCGGCAAUGGACGGAAGUCUGACCGAGCAACGCCGCGUGAGUGAAGAAGGUUUUCGGAUCGUAAAGCUCUGUUGUAAGAGAAGAACGAGUGUGAGAGUGGAAAGUUCACACUGUGACGGUAUCUUACCAGAAAGGGACGGCUAACUACG
rnacentral:rRNA from 1 species